GGUGGGGUGCAGGAGUGGUUAAACUGUCAUCUCUCGAAAAGAUUGAGCUCGGAAACGGGCACGUGGGUUCGAAUCCCACCCCCACCG
rnacentral:tRNA from 1 species